rnacentral:rRNA from 1 species
GACGAACGCUGGCGGCGUGCUUAACACAUGCAAGUCGAACGGAAAGGCCCUGCUUGUGUGGGGUGCUCGAGUGGCGAACGGGUGAGUAACACGUGAGUAACCUUCCCUUUACGUUGGGAUAACUGCAGGAAACUGGGGCUAAUGCCGGCUAGGAGCUCCGGCUGGAUGGGGGUGGUUGGAAAGUUUAGGCGGUUGGGGAUGGACUGGCGGCUUAUCAGCUUGUUGGUGGGGUAGUGGCUUACCAAGGCUUUGACGGGUAGCCGGCCUGAGAGGGUGACCGGCCACAUUGGGACUGAGAUACGGCCCAGACUCCUACGGGAGGCAGCAGUGGGGAAUAUUGCACAAUGGGCGGAAGCCUGAUGAAGCAACGCCGCGUGCGGGAUGACGGCCUUCGGGUUGUAAACCGCUUUAGCCUGUGACGAAGCGUGAGUGACGGUAAUGGGUAAAGAAGCACCGGCUAACUACGUG